rnacentral:rRNA from 1 species
CGUGGAUUAGGCAUGCAAGUCGAACGGGAUCGUCCGGUUAGCAAUAAUUGGGCGUGAGAGUGGCGGAUUGGGGAGGAACACGUGAGCAACCUGCCCUUGAGUUGGGGAAAACCGUUGGAAACGACGGCUAAUACCCGAUGUGGCGCCCCGCGGCAUCGCGGGAGCGCUAAAGGGGGCCGCAAGGCUCCCGCUCGUGGAGGGGCUCGCGCAUCAUCAGCUUGUUGGCGGGGUAACGGCCCACCAAGGCUUACGAUUAGCUGGUCUGAGAGGAUGACCAGCCCCACUGGGACUGAGAUACUGCCCAGACUCCUACGGGAGGCUGCAGUCGAGGAUCAUUUGCAAUGGGCGAAAGCCUGACAAUGCGACGCUGCGUGGAGGAUGAAGGCCUUCGGGUUGUAAACUCCUGUCAUAAGGGAAAAGGCGAUCCGACCCAACACGUCGGUGAGUUGAUUGUACUUUAAGAGGAAGCGACGGCUAACUCUGUGCCAGCAGCCGCGGUAAUACAGAGGUCGCAAGCGUUGUUCGGAUUUACUGGGCGUAAAGGGCGCGUAGGCGGCAGCGUGUGUCGGAUGUGAAAUCUCCGGGCUCAACCCGGAAAGUGCGUCCGAAACUGCGCUGCUCGAGUGCGGGAGAGGGAACCGGAAUGCAGGGUGUAGCGGUGAAAUGCGUUGAUAUCCUGCAGAACACCGGAGGCGAAGGCGGGUUCCUGGAACGCAACUGACGCUGAGGCGCGAAAGUCGGGGGAGCAAACAGGAUUAGAUACCCUGGUAGUCCCGACCUUAAACGGUGCACACUCGGGGUGGGGCCAUUUCACCGGUCCCGUCCCUUAGCUAACGCGUUAAGUGUGCCGCCUGGGGAGUACGGCCGCAAGGCUAAAACUCAAAGAAAUUGACGGGGGCCCGCACAAGCAGAGGAGCAUGUGGCUUAAUUCGAUGCAACGCGAAGAACCUUACCUGGGUUUGACAUACGGAUGCGCGGACCGUGAAAGCGGUCCUCCUUCGAGGGUUCCGUACAGGUGCUGCAUGGCUGUCGUCAGUUCGUGCCGUGAGGUGUUUGGUUAAGUCCACCAACGAACGCAACCCCUUUGGUAUGUUGCCAUCAGGUCAAGCUGGGAACUCGUACCAUACUGCCUGUUUACGCAGGAGGAAGGUGGGGAUGACGUCAAGUCAGUAUGGCCCUUACAUCCAGGGCUGCACACGUGCUACAAUGGCCGGUACAGAGGGACGCGAGACCGCAAGGUGGAGCCAAUCCCAGAGAGCCGGCCUCAGUUCAGAUCGGGGUCUGCAACCCGACCCCGUGAAGUCGGAUUUGCUAGUAACGGCGUAUCAGCUACGACGCCGUGAAUGCGUUCCCGGGCCUUGCACACACCGCCCGUCA